UCGUGUGGNUUUAGACCCACGNCAAACGGGGUAGCAACACGUGGGUACGUACUUCGGAGACGGGUAUAACCAGCCGAAAGGUUGGAUAAUCCCCGAUAGUCCCGUAAGGGUAAAGUCGUAAGACGCUCCGAGAACGGCCUGCGGGCUAUCAGCUAGUUGGUAGGGUAAUGGCCUACCAAGGCGAUGACGGCUAGGGGGGGUGAGAGCCCGAUCCCCACCAAUGGUACUGCGACACGGACCAUACACCUACGGGUGGCAGCAGCCGAGAAUAUUCGACAAUGGGCGAAAGCCUGAUCGAGCGACGCCGCGUGCAGGAUGAAGUUCUUCGGGACGUAAACUGCUUUUGUAGAGGAAGAACGUAAGUGACUGUACUCUACGAAUAAGGACCUGCAAAUCUCGUG
rnacentral:rRNA from 1 species